AUUUACAAAACAUUUUUUUAGAAUAACGGUCAGCUCUACGUACCUGAUAUACCAUUGCAUCAAAAUUACAGAACACCAGAACAUGUUAAUAAUGAAUAUAUUGAUGAACGCAUGGUACAGAAUAACGGUCAGCUCUACGUACCUGAUAUACCAUUGCAUCAAAAUUACAGAACACCAGAUUCCAAACAAAAGAAGGAAGAUAUAUCAUUAACCCAAGAACUUGUACAAUUUACUGAUGAUUUUUUUAAUGUUGGCAUUGAACAGGUAUAUUAUUAAAUAGUAU